rnacentral:rRNA from 1 species
UCUUGGUCAUUUAGAGGAAGUAAAAGUCGUAACAAGGUUUCCGUAGGUGAACCUGCGGAAGGAUCAUUAAAGAAAUUUAAUAAUUUUGAAAAUGGAUUUUUUUGUUUUGGCAAGAGCAUGAGAGCUUUUACUGGGCAAGAAGACAAGAGAUGGAGAGUCCAGCCGGGCCUGCGCUUAAGUGCGCGGUCUUGCUAGGCUUGUAAGUUUCUUUCUUGCUAUUCCAAACGGUGAGAGAUUUCUGUGCUUUUGUUAUAGGACAAUUAAAACCGUUUCAAUACAACACACUGUGGAGUUUUCAUAUCUUUGCAACUUUUUCUUUGGGCAUUCGAGCAAUCGGGGCCCAGAGGUAACAAACACAAACAAUUUUAUCUAUUCAUUAAAUUUUUGUCAAAAACAAGAAUUUUCGUAACUGGAAAUUUUAAAAUAUUAAAAACUUUCAACAACGGAUCUCUUGGUUCUCGCAUCGAUGAAGAACGCAGCGAAAUGCGAUACGUAAUGUGAAUUGCAGAAUUCCGUGAAUCAUCGAAUCUUUGAACGCACAUUGCGCCCCUUGGUAUUCCAGGGGGCAUGCCUGUUUGAGCGUCAUUUCCUUCUCAAACAUUCUGUUUGGUAGUGAGUGAUACUCUUUGGAGUUAACUUGAAAUUGCUGACCUUUUCAUUGGAUGUUUUUUUUCCAAAGAGAGGUUUCUCUGCGUGCUUGAGGUAUAAUGCAAGUACGGUCGUUUUAGGUUUUACCAACUGCGGCUAAUCUUUUUUUAUACUGAGCGUAUUGGAACGUUAUCGAUAAGAAGAGAGCGUCUAGGCGAACAAUGUUCUUAAAGUUUGACCUCAAAUCAGGUAGGAGUACCCGCUGAACUUAAGCAUAUCAAUAAGCGGAG